CCGUUGAAUGUUGUUCUGGUUCUUUCUGAUUUUCCUCAACUUCAGUAACCACAGGUUCACCUUUUACUGUUUCUGUAGGCUCAACUUCAGUAGCCACAGGUUCUUCUUUUACCGUUUCUGUAGCUUGAACUUCAGUAGCCACAGGUUCUUCUUUUACCAUUUCUCUAGGAUCAACUUCAGUAACCACAGGUUUGACUUUUACUGAUUCUGUCAGAUCAACUUCAGUAACCAGGGGUUCUUUUACUGUUUUUGUAAUUUCAACUUCUGUAGCCACAGCUUCUUCUUUUACUGUCUCUGUAGGAUCAACUUCAGUAACUAUAGGUUCGUCUUUUACCGUUUCUGUUGCCUCGAAUUCAGUAGCUGCAGGUUCAUCUUUUACCAUUUCUGUAGGCUCAACUACAGUUGUCACAGGUUCUUCUUUUACGGUUUCUGUAGCUUCAACUUCAGUAGCCACAGAUUCUUCUUUUACUGUUUCUGUAGCUUCAACUUCAGUAGCCACUGGUUCUUCUUUUACUGUUUCUGUAGCUUCAACUUCAGUAGCCACUGGUUCUUCUUUUACUGUUUCUGUAGCUUCAACUUCAGUAGCUGCAGGUUCGUCUUUUACCGUUUCUGUAGCCUCAACUUCAGUUGCCACAGGUUCUUCUUUUACCGUUUCUGUAGGCUCAACUUCAGUAGCCACGGGUUCUUCUUUUACUGUUUCUGUAGCUUCAGCUUCAGUAGCUAGAGGUUCUUCUUUUACCGUUUCUGUAGGAUCAACUUCAGUAACCACAGGUUCGUCUUUUACGGUUUCUGUAACCUUAACUUCAGUAGCUGCAGGUUCUUCUUUUACUGUUUCCGUAGCCUCAACUUCAGUAGCCACAAGUUCUUCUUUUAGUGUUUCUGUAGCCUCAACUUCAGUAACCACGGGUUCUUCUUUUACUAUCUCUGCAGUCGCAACUUCGGUAACCAUGGGUUCUUCUUUCACUGUUUCUGUAGGCUCCACUUCGAUGAUUUUGGUCUCUUCCGAUAUCGCUGCUGCUGUCUUCUCCUCAUUGGCCUCGACUGUAGAUUCAACAAUUGCAAUUGCUUUUGGUUG
rnacentral:lncRNA from 1 species